rnacentral:rRNA from 1 species
UACGGGGGGGGGCAAGCGUUGUUCGGAAUUACUGGGCGUAAAGGGUUUGUAGGUGGCCCGCUAAGUCACACGUGAAAUCCCUCAGCUUAACUGGGGAACUGCGUGUGAGACUGGCAGGCUCGAGGGCAGGAGAGGAACGCGGAAUUCCAGGUGUAGCGGUGAAAUGCGUAGAUAUCUGGAGGAACACCGGUGGCGAAGGCGAGUCCCUGGAAAACUCCUGACACUGAGGCACGAAAGCUAGGGGAGCAAACAGG